CCUACGGGAGGCUGCAGUGGGGAAUAUUGGGCAAUGGAGGAAACUCUGACCCAGCAACGCCGCGGGAAGGAUGAAGGUGUUCGGAGUGUAAACUUCUGUUGCGAGGGAGGAAGAAUGACGGUACCGCGUGAGGAAGCCCCGGCAAACUACGUGCCAGCAGCCGCGGUAAGACGUAGGGGGCAAGCGUUGUCCGGAAUGACUGGGCGUAAAGGGAGUGUAGGGGGCCUGUUAAGUGAUAGGUGAAAGCCCCCGGCGGAACCGAGGAACUGCAUAUAAAACGGGAGGGCUGGAGGGCCGGAGCGGUAAGCGGACUUUCUGGUGUAGCGGUUUACUGCGUAGAUCUUAGGCCGACCCCCGGCGGCGACGUCGGCUUACUGGACUGUAACUGACGCUGCGGCUCGAUAGCGUGGGGAGCACACAGGAUUAGAUACCCUGGUAGUC
rnacentral:rRNA from 1 species